AACGAACGCUGGCGGCGUGCUUAACACAUGCAAGUCGAACGGAAAGUCCCUGCUUUUUUGGGGUGCUCGACGUGCGACCUGGUGACUAACACUUGAGUAACCUAUCCUUCACUUUGGGAUAACUUCAGGCAACUUGGUCUAAUACCAGCUAGGAUCUCCUGCUGCUGGGUGGGGCUUGGAUAGUUUCGGCGGUUGGUGAUGGACUCGCGGCUUAUCAGCUUGUUGGUGGGGUAGUGGCUUACCAAGGCUUUGACGGGUAGCCGGCCUGAGAGGGUGACCGGCAACAUUGGGACUGAGCUAAGGCCCAGCCUCCUACGGGAGGCAGCGGUGGGGAAUAUUGCACAAUGGGCGGAAGCCUGAUGCAGCAAAGCAGCGUGCGGGAUGACGGCAUUCGGGUUGUAAACCGCUUUCGCCUGUGACGAAGCGUGAGUGACGGUAAUGGGUAAAGAAGCACCGGCUAACUACGUG
rnacentral:rRNA from 1 species